GCUUUACACUUGAUCUCUGAAUUUCAGGUAAGUAUUGUUGAAAAAUUCAAGGUAACUGAUGCC
rfam:Spinacia oleracea cultivar SynViroflay scaffold13157.con0015.1, whole genome shotgun sequence.